rnacentral:lncRNA from 1 species
GUGGAAGAGUAGAAGGCAAGCUAAGUUUCUCAUUCACUAAGAGCAGGCAUGACACAAUCUCACACUCCAACAAUGGAACAUGAGGCCUAGUCACACCUCAAUGUCAUGAGAAAGAGAACUGAAAGCUUCACUCUUCUAGUUGUAGACUCCGGUUGACUAUCAAUGCCUUAUAGCUCGAACUUCGCAAGUCUCCUUACCAUUAUCAAUGGUUAGC